rnacentral:rRNA from 1 species
GCUUUUUGAAGUUUAAAAGUUUUUUCUGCUCGGUGAUUUUUAACAGCCGCGGUAAUUUGACCGUGCAAAGGUAGCAUAAUCAUUUGCCUUAUAAUUGAGGGCUGGCAUGAAGGAAAGAACAAAAGUUUAACUUUAUUUUCAAGACAAAAAUAAUUUUCUUUUUUAGUGAAGAAGCUAAAAUCUUAAAGGGGACAAGAAGACCCUUUUGAGCUUUACUUUCCCUCUUCUUAUUUCGGGUUAGUUUGGUUGGGGCGACCUAGGAGAAUCCUCCUGUAUUAUGUUGAUCCACUUUUUGUGAUUAAAAGAACAAGUUACCAAAGGGAUAACAGCGUGAUCUUUUUUGAGAGUUCUUAUUAAAAAAAAGGAUUGCGACCUCGAUGUUGACUUAUAAUUUUCGCUUAGUGCAGCAGCUAAGUUGGUGGGUCUGUUCGACCUUUAAAAUUUU